rnacentral:rRNA from 1 species
AUUGAACGCUGGCGGCAGGCUUAACACAUGCAAGUCGAGCGGGGGAAGGUAGCUUGCUACCGGACCUAGCGGCGGACGGGUGAGUAAUGCUUAGGAAUCUGCCUAUUAGUGGGGGACAACAUCUCGAAAGGGAUGCUAAUACCGCAUACGUCCUACGGGAGAAAGCAGGGGAUCUUCGGACCUUGCGCUAAUAGAUGAGCCUAAGUCGGAUUAGCUAGUUGGUGGGGUCAAGGCCUACCAAGGCGACGAUCUGUAGCGGGUCUGAGAGGAUGAUCCGCCACACUGGGACUGAGACACGGACCAGACUCCUACGGGAGGCAGCAGUGGGGAAUAUUGGACAAUGGGGGGAACCCUGAUCCAGCCAUGCCGCGUGUGUGAAGAAGGCCUUAUGGUUGUAAAGCACUUUAAGCGAGGAGGAGGCUACUCUAGUUAAUACCUAGGGAUAGUGGACGUUACUCGCAGAAUAAGCACCGGCUAACUCUGUGCCAGCCGCCGCCGUAA